AGUGAACGCUGGCGGUAGGCCUAACACAUGCAAGUCGAACGGCAGCACAGUAAGAGCUUGCUCUUACGGGUGGCGAGUGGCGGACGGGUGAGGGAUACAUCGGAAUCUACUUUUUCGUGGGGGAUAACGUAGGGAAACUUACGCUAAUACCGCAUACGACCUACGGGUGAAAGCAGGGGAUCUUCGGACCUUGCGCGAUUGAAUGAGCCGAUGUCGGAUUAGCUAGUUGGCGGGGUAAAGGCCCACCAAGGCGACGAUCCGUAGCUGGUCUGAGAGGAUGAUCAGCCACACUGGACCUGAGACACGGUCCAGACUCCUACGGGAGGCAGCAGUGGGGAAUAUUGGACAAUGGGCGCAAGCCUGAUCCAGCCAUACCGCGUGGGUGAAGAAGGCCUUCGGGUUGUAAAGCCCUUUUGUUGGGAAAGAAAAGCAGCAGGUUAAUACCCCGCUGUUCUGACGGUACCCAAAGAAUAAGCACCGGCUAACUUCGU
rnacentral:rRNA from 1 species